rnacentral:rRNA from 1 species
UACGGGGGGGGUAAGCGUUGUUCGGAAUUACUGGGCGUAAAGGGCUCGUAGGCGGCCAACUAAGUCAGACGUGAAAUCCCUCGGCUUAACCGGGGAACUGCGUCUGAUACUGGAUGGCUGGAGUUUGGGAGAGGGAUGCGGAAUUCCAGGUGUAGCGGUGAAAUGCGUAGAUAUCGCUUGGAACGCCGAAGGUGAAAACAGGCUGCUGGGGUUGCGCCGACGCUGAGACACGAAAGCCAGGGGAGCAAACGGG